CGGCGAUGAUAUACCUUAUCCGCGCUUCUGAGUUUUCUCGAUGAAGCACAGUUGGUUAAAAUUUGGUUGAAUUUCUUGAUAUGAGCCC
rnacentral:snoRNA from 3 species